ACACUCCUCAAUGCAUCAGCCCCGUUCCUCAGCCCGCGGAGCGGCGGCACCGGCAGAUCCACGAGUCCCAUCCGCGGGAUCCCCUCUGCAGGGACUGGGAGGUGAGGUCAAAUGGAAAAUGGGGCUGCAGAACCCGAGGGGAGCAGGGCAGGGCCCUGUCCCUCAGACCACGAGCCCUGCCAAAACUUCACCCUGCUGGAAAGGACAGAUAUCUUUGAAAAGAGACACACACAGCGGAGGGGAUGCCUUGUCCCAGCAUGCUCUGCCCCAGCGCUCAGUGCUGUGUGUAGCCCACCCAGAGGUGCCUGAAGUGCCCGCGGGACCCUGAGCAUUGCUGCAAGGGCCCUGAUGCCUCUCCAGAACAAAGCGAGGCUGCUGGGUUUCAUCUGCGCCUGGAAGGGCCGGCCACGUUUCGAUGCCGUGGCUGCCUCUGUCACAGGAGCUCGUUCCUGCCGAAAUAACACCGUGUGGGUGGGACGUUCACCAGUGGGAGCCUUGGAUGCCUGAGGGAGCUGGGUGGAGAGCUUUCCUAGCCUCCCCCGAGUAGGCUGGGGGCACCAAAUAGCCUGGCUGCUGGGCAGAAGGCUGGGGGCCCUGAGCCACCCUCCCCUCCCGACAUCCCACGCUCUGGGCAUGGCUGAAAGCAGCUCCCAAAAGGGGAGGGAGGCUGGAGGUACCCGCCAGAUCCUGGGGCUCAUAGUGCCCAAAUGGGACCCAUGGCCAUACCAGUCUCUGUUGCCUGUAACUAUCUCUUUGGUGUCUUCAAAGGCCACCCAGAACCUAUUUAACAGGCAAAAGCGGCCAGGAGCUCUGGAGGUGGAUGGGGAAUACCGUGGUCAGUCCUAUGGCCUCCAUUAGCCAUACAGGGGCUCUGAUUUCUCAGGUCCUUAUUGCAAACAGAAACCCAGGAUCUCCUUUUCAUGGUAGCUUUUGUGCCAACAGCUCAGACCAUGCUGAGGAUCACGUGAGCCUGUCCGUGGGGAGGAGACAUUCGCUAUCCCAUCUGCCCGAGUGGGGCACGGAAGGAGACGGUGUCCCACAGCCCCUGGAUCAAAGGGUGCAGGGUGGAUUUGUGCUGGAUCUGCGAGCUGAGCUGGCGACUUCUCUGCGAGAGCCUUCGCAGGUGCUGGGGAGGCAGAAGGAAGAGCUGGUGGAGGGGGACCAGGAGGUGGAUCUCAGCAGGGUGAAGUCUGAGCUGCUGUCCCUCAAGCUAAAGAUGCAGAACAUGCAGGCCCACCUAGAGAGGGAGAAAAAGUGGCUGGAGCUGUCUCGCCGUGAGGACCAGGAGCAAAAGGGGGAUAUGCAUGAUAGGAUCCUUGGCCUGGAGCUGGAGGUGGCAAGAGCCAACACAGACCUGCGCGGGAUGAGCUGUUGCCUGGGCUUGUCGGAUCCCAGCCAGAUGGCAGCAGGGGUAAGGGAAGCGUUGGGAAGAGGAGGUGUUUCCCAUCUCAGAGAAGGCAUGGCAAGGAGAAGGGCACCAGAAGGGCCCUGUUCCCUCAUGGCAAGGGGUGGAUGCUCUGCUCUUGCCUCCUCUCGGGCUCUUUGACCCCAUGUGUGAGUCACUGUGGGCUGCAGAGCAGGGCAGAGGGACCCCCUACCACCUCCUUGCCUAGGAGACACCCCUGCAGGACAGCAUUGGCAGGGACAAUCCCUGACCAGCCGUCAUCCCUGCCAAGCAGAGUGACUCCCAAAACCAUGUUGCCUGGGGAGUUGCUCCUCUUCGGUCGCUCCAGGGAGGUCCCACAGUCGCAUCCUGCACCAGUGCGUACUGUCUGCCUGGGAGGUGGCAGGAGCUGGUGGCUGUGGCUGCAGUAGGUUUCGAGCCACCCCACAAAAAGUAUUUUGGUGUUCGAUUCCCGUUGAGAUCACAUGGAGCCAGAGGGGUGAGGAGGGUUAAUUCUCUUCGCGGCUCUGGGCCUUUCUUUGGCUUGCAAGGUGGUCCAAGUUUGUCCCUUGCCUUAAAAAUCAGGAUGGAAACAAAAAUCCUAUCUGCUUUCUUUUAUUUGGGUUGGAGUUUCAGGGUCUUCAGUUCACACUUGGGUCCCAUAGUUCAGCUUUUGUCUGUAGCGCUCAUUGCCGCAAGCUCGACCGUCAUACAAAAGACUGUUCUGUGAGCGUCCAACCCAGAGAAGCCCAGCUGGGUCUGCUCCUUUCCUCCUUCCACCUCAUCCCCAAAAUAACCCUGAAGAGGGAUGCUGUGCCAUGUGUUCGCUCGCGGCACCUCUGCAGGGUGACCAUCACCCUCACACGAGGGAAUCUCCAGCGCUGAUGCUGCCAGCAGGAGACCUCCUGGUGGUGGCGACUCCUGCUAACCUUGGCUGGGCGGCAAUUGUGAGUGUCUUCCCUGGCAGUGUCCCUGCCAUGGUGAAAUCACAGCCGGCCCUUUCCUUCGCGUCGCAGGGCUGGCGCCUGGCUCGCCACCAGCGUGGCGCGGAUGGCUGGCGGGUCACGGGCCUGCUGCAGGCCAACCAAGCCCUGCACGAGCCCAUCGGCAGGGUGCAAGAGGCCGCCAAAGUCUCCUUGAAUUACACAAGCAGUGGAGGAGU
rnacentral:lncRNA from 1 species